GCCUACAGCCAUGCCACCCUGAACGUGCCCGAUCCCAUCUGAUCUUGGGAGCUAAGCAGGGUUGGGCUUGGUUGGUACGUGGAUGGGAAAUGGCCUGGGAAUGCUGGGUGCUGUAGGCG
ensembl:rRNA 5S_rRNA 5S ribosomal RNA